AAAGAGCCCCUGUCGGGGAGUGAAAUAGAACAUGAAACCGUAAGCUCCCAAGCAGUGGGAGGAGCUGGGGCUCUGACCGCGUGCCUGUUGAAGAAUGAGCCGGCGACUCAUAGGCAGUGGCUUGGUUAAGGGAAACCACCGGAGCCGUAGCGAAAGCGAGUCUUCAUAGGGCUAUUGUCACUGCUUAUGGACCCGAACCUGGGUGAUCUAUCCAUGACCAGGAUGAAGCUUAGGUGAAACUAAGUGGAGGUCCG
rnacentral:rRNA from 1 species